rnacentral:lncRNA from 1 species
UCUAAAGGACAAUCUCAGAACACUGGACUUUAUAUGCCAUUACCAAUCCCAGAAGAUAUUUGGCAAGACUUGUCUAUGGAUUUUGUGCUAGGCUUACCUCGUACACAGCGAGGCGUCGAUUCUGUGUUUGUGGUCGUUGACAGAUUCUCCAAGAUGUCGCAUUUCAUCGCCUGCAAGAAGACUGCAGAUGCCUCUAACAUCGCCAAGUUAUUUUUUCGGGAAGUGGUACGUCUUCAUGGGGUUCCUAAGACAAUAAUUUCCGACAGAGAUACCAAGUUUCUGAGUCACUUCUGGAUUACACUUUGGAGAAUGUUUGGAACCAGCUUGAAACGGAGUUCUACAGCUCAUCCACAGACUGAUGGGCAAACCGAGGUGACGAAUAGAACUUUGGGGAAUAUGAUUCGAAGUGUUUGUGGAGAUAAACCGAAACAAUGGGAUCUGGCUUUACCUCAAGUGGAGUUUGCUUACAACAGUGCCGUGCACUCAGCUACAGGGAAAUCACCUUUUUCUUUGGUCUAUAGGGAAUAGGUGCCGUCUUAUCACAAGAAAAACGACCGAUAGCUUUCUUUAGUGAAAAGUUAAGUGAAGCUCGCCAAAAGUAGAGCACGUAUGAUCAAGAGUUAUAUGCGGUUUUUCGAGCUCUUCGACAAUGGGAGCAUUACUUGGUUCAGAGAGAGUUUGUUCUAUUUACAGACCACCAAGCUCUAAAGUAUCUUCACAGCCAGAAAGUGAUAAAUAAGAUGCAUGCUCGUUGGGUAAGUUUUCUGCAAAAGUUUCCUUUCAUUAUUCAGCAUAAGUCUGGGACUCUUAACAAGGUGGCAGACGCCUUGAGUAGAAGAGCUUCCUUACUCACUAUCUUAGCACAAGAGGUUGUGGGUUUCGAGUUUCUGAAGGAGUUGUAUGAAUGUGAUGUUGAAUUCAAGGAGUUAUGGGGCAAAUGUAAUGGAAAGCAUCCUUCGGCAGAUUUCCACAUACGAGAUGGUUAUCUUUUUAAAGGAGACAGGCUGUGCAUUCCUUGCUCGUCAUUACGAGAAAAGUUGAUUCGCGAUUUGCAUGGUGGUGGCCUUAGUGGUCAUUUGGGAAGAGACAAGACCAUUGCUAGCUUGGAGACAAGGUUUUAUUGGCCAUAUUUAAGGAGAGAUGCGGGUGCUAUAGUUAAAAGGUGUUAUAUCUGUCAGGUUUCUAAAGGACAAUCUCAGAACACUGGACUUUAUAUGCCAUUACCAAUCCCAGAAGAUAUUUGGCAAGACUUGUCUAUGGAUUUUGUGCUAGGCUUACCUCGUACACAGCGAGGCGUCGAUUCUGUGUUUGUGGUCGUUGACAGAUUCUCCAAGAUGUCGCAUUUCAUCGCCUGCAAGAAGACUGCAGAUGCCUCUAACAUCGCCAAGUUAUUUUUUCGGGAAGUGGUACGUCUUCAUGGGGUUCCUAAGACAAUAAUUUCCGACAGAGAUACCAAGUUUCUGAGUCACUUCUGGAUUACACUUUGGAGAAUGUUUGGAACCAGCUUGAAACGGAGUUCUACAGCUCAUCCACAGACUGAUGGGAAAACCGAGGUGACGAAUAGGACUUUGGGGAAUAUGAUUCGAAGUGUUUGUGGAGAUAAACCGAAACAAUGGGAUCUGGCUUUACCUCAAGUGGAGUUUUCUUACAACAGUGCCGUGCACUCAGCUACAGGGAAAUCACCUUUUUCUUUGGUCUAUUGUUCUAUUCCGAAGCAUGUGGUCGAUUUGGUUAAGUUGCCUAAAGCUCCUGGAGUUAGUAUCUCAGCUGAGGCUAUGGCAGAGGAUAUUCUAGCAACUAGAGACGCUGUCCGAGCGAAGUUAGAAGCAACUGGCCAAAAGAAUAAAGAAGCAGCAGACAAGCGUAGAAGACUCAAGGUUUUCAAAGAAGGAGAUGAAGUGAUGGUGUUUCUACGAAAAGAAAGAUUCCCCGUGGGCACAUAUCGCAAGCUACAGCCUCGCAAAUAUGGUCCAUUCAAGAUUUUGCGGAAGUUAAAUGAUAAUGCUUAUGUGGUGGCACUUCCAGAAGACAUGAACAUUUCUAAUACGUUCAAUGUGGCUGACAUCUAUGAGUACCAUGCUGAUGGUGUUCUUUAUCCAGAAGAGAACUCGGGGUCGAGUUCUUUCGAGGUGGAGGAGACUGAUGUAGGAGACUCUUAGAUUUACAUAACCUAAUCUAGAAGUUUUCCUUUUAUUUCAUGUUUUCUUUUU